ensembl:lncRNA novel transcript
AACUAACGCCUGAUGAUCUGAGUUGGGACAGUUUCAUCCCACCCCCACUCCCAUAUGUGGAAAAAUUGUCUUCCAGGAAACUGAUCCUUGAUGCCAAAAAGCUCUACUCUCAUUGGUAUGUUGACCUCUGUCUUCACUGCCGAGUCAUAUAAGAGCCCAAAUGGAAUGAAAGGCCAGGACCCAAAACCUAACAAGUGUCUGCAGACCUGCAACUAAAUUCCUCAAGAUGGAGUCUCGCUCUGUUGCCAGGUUGGAGCGCAGUGGGGCGAUCUCUGCUCACUGCCAACCUCCGCCUCCCAGGUUCAAGUGAUUCUCCUGCCUCAGCCUCCUGAGUAGCUGGGACUACAGAAUUUUAUGUUGUCUUCCACAAGGCCACACUGUAUGAGGGCAAUUUUCCCACACGCAGCCUAUGAGGUGUGGAUGGCGUAAGCCACAGAUCAGGAAGAAGCAAGAUUAGACCACCAGAAUAACGAUGACCUUGGUGAUAACGAUGUUUAGGAAAAUUCUCACUUACAUGGGACCUGAGACAAUUUUAGAGCUCUUGAGGACAUCGUCAAACCUUGAGUUCAAGCCACAUGUAUGGACUUGUCAGUGUUCCCACUGUGUUGCCACCUCUGGUCUAUAGUUCCUGAGGGCAGCAGAGGUUACUCUUAAACCACACUUCAGGAGUGAUGAUCGUUCCUUGCAUGGAUGGUACUACUCUUCUUGUUCUACCCAUGGCUCCUUGAAUGGCAAUAUGCAGAAGGAAGUAGUUGCAUUCAUCACUGAAAGAGACCACAUUCUGGUAAUGAAAUGAUUACAAUCUUACAGUUCCAGAGAAGUUGCAAUUGGAAGAUGUGCUAUUCUACACCUACACAUUCCAAAAGCUAAAUUUAACAUGACCAGAAAACAAAAUAUCACACACAUUUUGCUGCAUGCUCUGGGCAAGUGUUGAAAUUGUGAUCAUUAUCAAAGAAACACACUAACAACUGUAAAAGGAGUUGUUGGAAGCCAGUAUUCAUGGGAGGGACAGAUGAUAGAUGAUGCAGCCUCAUAAUUAAUGAUGUAACCAGGUUUAAAUACAUGAUAUUGGAGAACUGCA